UGACAACGGACCUGCGCUCGGUGGAACUGGACACGGAUUGCACUGACAAUAAAAUUAAAUAUCGUCGAUCGCGUACCUACUUGCUACAGCGUUCUUAAAUUAUUUUCAUGAAACCUUUAGUUGUGUCGUGAAUAUUAACUAUUUAUCCUGUACAACUAUAUAGUGUAAAUUGUGAAAAAGAUGGGCAAUAAAAGUAAACCAAAGUGGACCAAGCGACAAAAUUUAAAACGCAAAAGGGAACAAGUCCGUAAUUUAAGAGCAAUGAAAAUGUCCAAAGCUUCGGGUAGUCGGUCGGUGUCUGUUGAAAUUCCUUUUGUUGAUGCCCAUAAUAACACCGGACUACAUUCAUUACUCCGCCAACUUGCCUACGUGACUACAGGCAGACCAAACCGCGUGGGAGAGGGACAGUGAUACGCGUUACGAAGCGUCUAAAAGAGAAAGGGCAUCGGGGUGAAAGACCGCACGAGCUAGAGAUUCACCAACUGGUUUCCCCUGGUUUUUUGGCAGGGUUAAGAUUUUGUGUGUUAGGGGUUGUGGGAUUUUGUUCCCCUGGCGUUUUGAGAUAAUAGAAUUAGAGAGUUAUUUAAGUCGCCGCUUACAAACUUUCACAAGUUAAGCGAUUUCAAUUAUAACUUAAUGUUUUACUGUUUGAAAUAGUCCUACUUAUAUGUAAUACGGUUUUACUUACAUAAACAACAUUGUAUUGUGUGUAUUGUUGUAACAACAGAUAUUUAAUUUCAAUAAUUACCUAUAGUGUAGUAUUAAUAUCUACCUACACAGUCAAAAUCGUAAGUCAAGAAAUAAAUACAUACUUACAUAAUAUCUCAAACAUUGUUUUUGGUCAUGUUAUCCUAGCUUUAAAGAAAAUAAUUUCGUAGUUAAUAAAACACAAUGCAAAACUAUUAUCAAGAUACAUAAUAGAACCCCAUGAAGCCGAAGGCACAGUUAGUUACUAAGUCUGAAAAAACCUACAAUAAUAAGGAAACGCACAACAAAUAAAUAUAAAUCAAUUACGACUAUAAAUAAUUAACGAAAUUCUGCGAAAUGCUAUCUACUUAAUUAAAAAAGUUCAUUCGAUUGUUUACAAUCGCAUCAAGAAAAAGUUAUGGGAACGCGAAGAAAUUUGAAAUGCAUUGUGCAUUGGAAAUGUACUUUUUGUCCAAAUUUCCCACAAUAAAUGCAAGUGAGUUAAUUUAAUGCAUUUCGAUGACUAAUGGCCACCGCACAAAGGGCCGUAAACACAGAACAUGGAAUCGUCGCGCGCCGCCCGCUACUAGAGACGGCAGGAAUAAUAAUAGCCGUAGCUGCAAUUGUGCGUUGAGCGCAUAAGUGCGCGCGACGAUUCCAUGCUCUGUGGCCGUAAAGCAUUGUCUUAUGGCUAUCUUUUGGCUUCUUUAUAAAUUUAACUGAAAUGAAGCAAUUUAUGAUGUAAAGGCAGUUUCACGUGUUUUACUUCAUUAGCACUUAAAUAAA